rnacentral:rRNA from 1 species
CUACGGAGGGGGCUAGCGUUGUUCGGAAUUACUGGGCGUAAUGCGCGCGUAGGCGGAUUGAUCAGUCAGGGGUGAAAUCCCGAGGCUUAACCUCGGAACUGCCUUUGAUACUGUCAAUCUUGAGUUCGAGAGAGGUGAGUGGAAUUCCUAGUGUAGAGGUGAAAUUCGUAGAUAUUAGGAAGAACACCAGUGGCGAAGGCGGCUCACUGGCUCGAUACUGACGCUGAGGUGCGAAAGCGUGGGGAGCAAACAGGAUUAGAUACCCUAGUAGUCC